GCACAAGAACCCAGGCGCCCCAGCGUUUACAGGGAAGAGGGCGGGGCUAGACGCGGCCUUGAUAACUACUAGAACGCCUCGGGCUGUGCGGCUCGAGACUACAUUUCCCAGGGGUCCCGGCGCAGAGCGGGCUGGAAAGAGAGCGCCUCCGGUCCAGUGCGCAGGUGCAGGAGCCGUAUCUGGCUAUAUAAAGGAGGU
rnacentral:lncRNA from 1 species